rnacentral:rRNA from 1 species
UACGUAGGGUGCGAGCGUUAAUCGGAAUUACUGGGCGUAAAGCGUGCGCAGGCGGUGAUGUAAGUCCGAUGUGAAAUCCCCGGGCUUAACCUGGGAACUGCAUUGGUGACUGCAUCGCUCGAGUAUGGCAGAGGGGGGUAGAAUUCCACGUGUAGCAGUGAAAUGCGUAGAGAUGUGGAGGAAUACCGAUGGCGAAGGCAGCCCCCUGGGUCAAUACUGACGCUGAGGCACGAAAGCAUGGGGAUCAAACAGG